rnacentral:lncRNA from 1 species
AGCCCAUACAUUGGCUACUAAAGCCAGGCUGCUUCAGAAACAUGAAAUAAAAAGCACCAGAGACAAAAGUGUGAAACAAAUGGAUGUGGUUUCUAUGUCCUGCUGGUGAAGGAGAAGACAGCUAGCAAGCAGGAACCUCUGCUGUCACAGCACCAGCAUUAUGGUUGCUCAGUUUCUUCACAAAGCAAAUCAUGAAGAAGUACAGACCUGACUUAAAGAGUUACUAGCUCUUUUGGAAAAGUACAAGAAGUUGAAAUACUAUGAGGCACUUUCAGAAGGUGCUCACCAAUUGCCCUCAGACAAAAUUAGAGAAUGAUAAGAACAGCUAACUGGGCUCUGGCCACUUCCUUAGAGCUCUAGUCUACCACCGCUGUAGAAGAUAAAGGCUAAGGCACAUCAUCAGGAUGCACACGUCUCCUGUGGACUGAUCAUUCACCAACACCACGGCUUCAUCUCUCCAGAUUGCUUUAACUUCUUCCCCCCAUUCCAUCACUGUGUAUCCAGCAUGCCAUCCCCAGGAAGCCACCAUUCCCAAAAGCCAUUUGUACAUGGUUCCUUCAAUAAACCAAAACUGCUUACUGUCCAGCCC